rnacentral:lncRNA from 1 species
GUCAUGCUUUUGAAUACCUACGUGGUAUACGUGACGUAAUUAUUGUAUAACAUAAGUAUCACAAUAUUAAAUAUGAUAUCUAUUCCCUGCUGAUAUCUGUAUUCGUUCAAGGAAAUAACAAAAUACUUAAGGUGUUGCAGAAACAGAAUGUCAAUAAUAACACAUCCAGUUAAAAAUUUUAUAAAUUUGAUGAUUUUGAAUAAAAAUAAAAUAAAUUGUUGGAAUAGUUUAUAUUGGAAGGUAUAGUAAAUAUUUAGCAACUGAAAAAGCUACUUUUUACAUGUUUACUUACAAGUUUAUGAGAUUUCUUUAUCGAAUUAUAAAAUCAAUAAGGAAGAAAGAUCACUCAGAAACGAUUAGGUUUACCGUUUUUUACCUUUAUAGGUAUAAGUUUUAGGUAUAAGUAACAAGACUGUCACUGUUAUUUGUAUUCCCAUGCAAGUACGUAAUUGACUAGAAAGCUAAAAAUGGUAGACCCUCACAUUACGACAUAUUUUCCUAUAGCAAGAGUGGGUGGCUCCACGUGGUAAUAAAUAUUGAUUUAGUGGUGUCAUAGCAAACCAAUAUACUUAAAGUGUCAAAUUGCUUCUGUGUUUCGCAUGGUAAAUAAGUUUACUAAAGGCCUAAUUACCCCUUCACUUCCUAAUCCAUAUUUCUUUCCUAGAGUCAGCGACGCAUUCAUGAUUCUUUUUUAUGUAGGUAAUUAUAGGUGGUGUUAUGAUGUACAAAAUAAAACGAUGAAGGGUACUGCUACCCUUAAAACUAGCGAGAUUUAGGGUGAAAUAAUAAUGACCCUGUUAGCUUUCAGUUAGGUACAAUCAAUCAAUCGUCACAUGUGACAAUGAAACCAGUAUCGAACAGCUUCAUAAAAUAAGUGCUUUAUUGGUUAAAAUUAGUAGGUAUAGGUACAUAAUUUGAAUUAAAUAUGUGAAUGAAAACAAAACUAGCCCGAAUAGUGUUAUUCUGCAAUAUUGGAAG